rnacentral:rRNA from 1 species
AGAUUGAACGCUGGCGGCAUGCCUAACACAUGCAAGUCGAGCGGCAGCGCGGGGGGCAACCCUGGCGGCGAGCGGCGGACGGGUGAGUAAGGCAUCGGAAUCUGCCCUGAUGUGGGGGAUAACGUAGGGAAACUUACGCUAAUACGCAUACGACCGAGAGGUGAAAGACGGGGGACCGAAAGGACCUCGCGCAGCAGGAUGAAGCCGAUGUCGAUUAGCUGGUUGUGGGUUAAAGGCCGUACCAA